CGGAAUUUCUUCUCAAGUGGUCUCUGAUCCAGAGAGACACACCCAGCGGCAGCCGUUGACUCCCUCCACCCUUGCUUCCCUCUCAACCAUCUCACCUCCAUCUGUCCAGUGGAGCCAGAUGUCCCACCUUCUUGGGAGAAAUUAAUUGAGGCUCAUUUCCAGGACAGAGGGGCAAGCUGGGUCUGAGGAGCCAAGCAGAAAAACUUCCCAAAAUCACUGGGUGGGGAGGGGUCAGAGACUUACUGCUGCCCCAGCUGUUCUGACUCUGCCCCCAGCUUUUGGCCCCACCCUUUUAAAGCACCUUCAGAGGUUCCCAAUGGUGACAGUAAACAAGUCUCCACUGUCCUGGCCAUCUCUGCUGUGUUCACCCUACUCCUGAUCUUUCUGGCUGCUCAGGGACUGACAGCCAAGAUGUGAGGCUGUGAUGAGCAGGAACAGGGAGGCCUGGAGCCCCCAGCCAUUGUCAUCACUUCCCUGAUCUGCCUAAAUUCUGCCCAGCAGUCCGUGAAAAUGGUUUGCUGAUGACAUAUGUAAGGACUUUAACUCCCCUCAAGCAAUCUGCUCAUCUCAAAGGAUUUGCAAUGAUCAAGAGGCGUCCUGUGAAUGCAGUUUGCAAAGGACUUAGGCACACAGCAUCUCCUUUGUUCUCACCACAAGGCUGCCGGGUGUGCAGAUGUGAGGAUUAUUUCAAUGGUGAAGAAGCAUCCUGAGAGGUUACGUAGUUCAACUAAUGUCACACCAAGAGCAGGAGAGCAUCUGGGCAUUUGGACAUGGAAGGUGUGGGGCACAAGCAUCUCAUGGCCAGGGAACGGGGGAGGAGCAUCUCAGAGCUGCAUCAGAGUUCAUGCUGGUCCUAGGACAAGAGUCAAGCACACCCUGCUUUCACCAGCUGCUGGUAGCUUUCACUCAGGCCACCUCUCUUUGCCAGUCUUGACAAAUAAUUUCUUAGUGAAGCACCUAUUUCAGGCUGAGCCACAAGAUGUCAGCCUAAGCUUAGUCAUUUUGAAUUUUCCUGGCCCUUGAAACAACUACAUUUUUUCACUUUUAUGACCAAGAAAAAGUCUGAGAAGCUCACGACCCCUCAGGAUUAGGUACAGAGACCACAGCAGCUGCUUGCCCUGGGAGCUCUUCAUGCCUGUUCUCAGCCAUCUUCAGUGAAGAUUUCACAGGAUAACCCAAACUGGCUCCUUUCUGUGACACCACCCAGGGAACUGCAUUCCAAGUGUGGGUGUACACGGAUCUCCACCAUUGGUCCUUGCUCUCUCUCCUGUCCCAUCCUUUCUCCCCUUCCUCAGUUAUGCUCUGGGGCAGGUUCCCACUUUGGCCACUUAAUUCUCUGAACCUCUACUACAUGAAGAGACUAGAACUUGAUUAGAAAAAAAUGGAAUGACUCUUAAUGAGCAAGUGGAUGAAUAAAUUGUGGUAAAUCCCUA
rnacentral:lncRNA from 1 species